AGGUCAUAUCACGUUGAAGCCCCGGUUCCCGUACGAUCGCCAAAGUUAAGCAACGUCGAGCCUGGUCAUUACCGAGAUGGGUGACCGCUUGGGAAUAAUACGUGCU